rnacentral:rRNA from 1 species
GGGUUGUGAGGUUAAGCGACUAAGCGUACACGGUGGAUGCCCUGGCAGUCAGAGGCGAUGAAGGACGUGCUAAUCUGCGAUAAGCGUCGGUAAGGUGAUAUGAACCGUUAUAACCGGCGAUUUCCGAAUGGGGAAACCCAGUGUGUUUCGACACACUAUCAUUAACUGAAUCCAUAGGUUAAUGAGGCGAACCGGGGGAACUGAAACAUCUAAGUACCCCGAGGAAAAGAAAUCAACCGAGAUUCCCCCAGUAGCGGCGAGCGAACGGGGAGGAGCCCAGAGUCUGAAUCAGUGUGUGUGUUAGUGGAAGCGUCUGGAAAGGCGUGCGAUACAGGGUGACAGCCCCGUACACAAAAAUGCACAUAUUGUGAGCUCGAUGAGUAGGGCGGGACACGUGGUAUCCUGUCUGAAUAUGGGGGGACCAUCCUCCAAGGCUAAAUACUCCUGACUGACCGAUAGUGAACCAGUACCGUGAGGGAAAGGCGAAAAGAACCCCGGCGAGGGGAGUGAAAAAGAACCUGAAACCGUGUACGUACAAGCAGUGGGAGCCUCUUAAUGGGGUGACUGCGUACCUUUUGUAUAAUGGGUCAGCGACUUAUAUUCUGUAGCAAGGUUAACCGAAUAGGGGAGCCGAAGGGAAACCGAGUCUUAACUGGGCGUUAAGUUGCAGGGUAUAGACCCGAAACCCGGUGAUCUAGCCAUGGGCAGGUUGAAGGUUGGGUAACACUAACUGGAGGACCGAACCGACUAAUGUUGAAAAAUUAGCGGAUGACUUGUGGCUGGGGGUGAAAGGCCAAUCAAACCGGGAGAUAGCUGGUUCUCCCCGAAAGCUAUUUAGGUAGCGCCUCGUGAAUUCAUCUCCGGGGGUAGAGCACUGUUUCGGCAAGGGGGUCAUCCCGACUUACCAACCCGAUGCAAACUGCGAAUACCGGAGAAUGUUAUCACGGGAGACACACGGCGGGUGCUAACGUCCGUCGUGAAGAGGGAAACAACCCAGACCGCCAGCUAAGGUCCCAAAGUCAUGGUUAAGUGGGAAACGAUGUGGGAAGGCCCAGACAGCCAGGAUGUUGGCUUAGAAGCAGCCAUCAUUUAAAGAAAGCGUAAUAGCUCACUGGUCGAGUCGGCCUGCGCGGAAGAUGUAACGGGGCUAAACCAUGCACCGAAGCUGCGGCAGCGACACUAUGUGUUGUUGGGUAGGGGAGCGUUCUGUAAGCCUGUGAAGGUGGCCUGUGAGGGUUGCUGGAGGUAUCAGAAGUGCGAAUGCUGACAUAAGUAACGAUAAAGCGGGUGAAAAGCCCGCUCGCCGGAAGACCAAGGGUUCCUGUCCAACGUUAAUCGGGGCAGGGUGAGUCGACCCCUAAGGCGAGGCCGAAAGGCGUAGUCGAUGGGAAACAGGUUAAUAUUCCUGUACUUGGUGUUACUGCGAAGGGGGGACGGAGAAGGCUAUGUUGGCCGGGCGACGGUUGUCCCGGUUUAAGCGUGUAGGCUGGUUUUCCAGGCAAAUCCGGAAAAUCAAGGCUGAGGCGUGAUGACGAGGCACCACGGUGCUGAAGCGACAAAUGCCCUGCUUCCAGGAAAAGCCUCUAAGCAUCAGGUAACAUCAAAUCGUACCCCAAACCGACACAGGUGGUCAGGUAGAGAAUACCAAGGCGCUUGAGAGAACUCGGGUGAAGGAACUAGGCAAAAUGGUGCCGUAACUUCGGGAGAAGGCACGCUGAUAUGUAGGUGAAGCGACUUGCUCGUGGAGCUGAAAUCAGUCGAAGAUACCAGCUGGCUGCAACUGUUUAUUAAAAACACAGCACUGUGCAAACACGAAAGUGGACGUAUACGGUGUGACGCCUGCCCGGUGCCGGAAGGUUAAUUGAUGGGGUUAGCGGUAACGCGAAGCUCUUGAUCGAAGCCCCGGUAAACGGCGGCCGUAACUAUAACGGUCCUAAGGUAGCGAAAUUCCUUGUCGGGUAAGUUCCGACCUGCACGAAUGGCGUAAUGAUGGCCAGGCUGUCUCCACCCGAGACUCAGUGAAAUUGAACUCGCUGUGAAGAUGCAGUGUACCCGCGGCAAGACGGAAAGACCCCGUGAACCUUUACUAUAGCUUGACACUGAACAUUGAGCCUUGAUGUGUAGGAUAGGUGGGAGGCUUUGAAGUGUGGACGCCAGUCUGCAUGGAGCCGACCUUGAAAUACCACCCUUUAAUGUUUGAUGUUCUAACGUUGGCCCGUAAUCCGGGUUGCGGACAGUGUCUGGUGGGUAGUUUGACUGGGGCGGUCUCCUCCUAAAGAGUAACGGAGGAGCACGAAGGUUGGCUAAUCCUGGUCGGACAUCAGGAGGUUAGUGCAAUGGCAUAAGCCAGCUUGACUGCGAGCGUGACGGCGCGAGCAGGUGCGAAAGCAGGUCAUAGUGAUCCGGUGGUUCUGAAUGGAAGGGCCAUCGCUCAACGGAUAAAAGGUACUCCGGGGAUAACAGGCUGAUACCGCCCAAGAGUUCAUAUCGACGGCGGUGUUUGGCACCUCGAUGUCGGCUCAUCACAUCCUGGGGCUGAAGUAGGUCCCAAGGGUAUGGCUGUUCGCCAUUUAAAGUGGUACGCGAGCUGGGUUUAGAACGUCGUGAGACAGUUCGGUCCCUAUCUGCCGUGGGCGCUGGAGAACUGAGGGGGGCUGCUCCUAGUACGAGAGGACCGGAGUGGACGCAUCACUGGUGUUCGGGUUGUCAUGCCAAUGGCACUGCCCGGUAGCUAAAUGCGGAAGAGAUAAGUGCUGAAAGCAUCUAAGCACGAAACUUGCCCCGAGAUGAGUUCUCCCUGACUCCUUGAGGGUCCUGAAGGAACGUUGAAGACGACGACGUUGAUAGGCCGGGUGUGUAAGCGCAGCGAUGCGUUGAGCUAACCGGUACUAAUGAACCGUGAGGCUUAACCUUACAACGCCGAAG